ACAAUGGGCGCAAGCCUGAUCCAGCCAUGCCGCGUGUGUGAUGAAGGCCCUAGGGUUGUAAAGCACUGUCGGGAGGGACGAAAAUGGUGGUGUAACGGCCACAACUGACGGUACCUCCUAAGGAAGCACCGGCUAACUCUGUGCCAGCAGCCGCGGUAAUACAGAGGGUGCGAGCGUUGUUCGGAAUCACUGGGCGUAAAGCGCGUGUAGGCG
rnacentral:rRNA from 1 species